GUCUUUGUGUGUGCUCAGCCCAGGACUGAAUGCACAGCAGGCUGUCAGGAAGUAGUCAUGGAUUGAUGUGUCCGUAUUCGCCAUAACCAAGCAGGAGAUAGAUGAUUUCGUUCUGGUCUCUGGAUUUUGGCUGCAUUUUCUCUCAUAGUAGGAAUUAUUCCCGGAAGAUCCAAAUGCUCAGCUUUGUCCUCCUCUCAUCCUGGUGAGGCGUGUGAUCCAGCUGACCAUACUCCCUGGAGCCUUCUCCCGAGGUGCGCGGGUGACCUUGGCACAUACAGCCAUCAUGAUGGUACUUUAAGUGGAGGCUGAAUCAUCUCCCCUUUGAGCUGCUUGGCACGUGGCUCCCUUGGUGUUCCCCUUUUACUGCCAGGACACUGAGAUUUGGAGAGAAUCCUGUUACACCUGGGAUUUAGGCACUUUCAAUCUGAAAAAAUACAUAUCCUUUCAGCACUCUGGACGGACUUGAGAACUGUCCUUACGUGACCUAAAGCUGGAGUAUUUUGAGAUUGGAGAAUUAAGAAGGACAGAAUAACGGGCUCCCAGAUUCACAAGCCCCACCAAGAGGAUCACCCCAGGAACGCUUGGAGGCUGAGGAGUUCACUGAGGCUACUGCAUCUUGAGACUCAGGAUGAAGACCCAGCUUGGGGCUGUCAAAGGUUUUUUGCAUGUCUGACACCCAUGACUCCACCUGGACCUUAUGGCUCCACCCAGAAGCAAUUCAGCCCAACAGGAGGACAGCUUCAACCCAUUACGAUUUCAUCUCUGCCCCAACCACUCAGCAGCAAGCACCUGUUACCUGUCCACCCCCACCCCUUCCCCCAAACUGCCUUUGAAAAAUCCCUAACCUAUGAGCUUUGAAUAAGAUGAGUACGAACUUCAUCGCCCACGUGGCGUGGCCGGCCUCGUGUCUAUUAAAUUCUUUUUCUAC
rnacentral:lncRNA from 1 species